GUGCCUUUAGUUCAAUUGGUAGAACCCCCGGCUCAUAACCGGAAAGUUUUGGAUUCAAGUUCCAAAGGGCACACCA
rnacentral:tRNA from 1 species